AUUGAACGCUGGCGGCAGGCCUAACACAUGCAAGUCGAGCGAGCGGCGGACGGGUGAUUAAUGUCAGGGUACCUGCCUGCUGGAGGGGGAUAACUACUGGAAACGGUAACUAAUACCACACACCCUCGGGUGUGUCCAGAUGGGAUUAGCUAGUGGGGGGGGUAACGGCUCACCUAGGCGACGAUCCCUAGCUGGUGUGAGAGGAUGACCAGCCACACUGGAACUGAGACACGGCCCAGACUCCUACGGGAGGCAGCAGGGGGGAAUAUUGGACAAUGGGCGCAAGCCUGAUGCAGCCAUGCCGCGUGUGUGAAGAAGGCCUUCGGGUUGUAAAGCACGUUCAGCGGGGAGGCGUUACCCGCAGAAGAAGCACCGGCUAACUCCGUGCCAGCCGCCGCGGUAAUUC
rnacentral:rRNA from 1 species